rnacentral:rRNA from 1 species
CCUACGGGUGGCAGCAGUGAGGAAUAUUGGUCAAUGGGCGAGAGCCUGAACCAGCCAAGUCGCGUGAGGGAAGACGGUCCUAUGGAUUGUAAACCUCUUUUGCCGGGGAGCAAAAAGCGGUACGUGUACCGCAUCGAGAGUACCCGGAGAAAAAGCAUCGGCUAACUCCGUGCCAGCAGCCGCGGUAAUACGGAGGAUGCGAGCGUUAUCCGGAUUUAUUGGGUUUAAAGGGUGCGCAGGCGGCGAGUUAAGUCAGCGGUGAAAUGCCCCCGCUCAACGGGGUGAAGUGCCAUUGAUACUGCCUGGCUGGAAUGCGGAUGCCGUGGGAGGAAUGUGUGGUGUAGCGGUGAAAUGCAUAGAUAUCACACAGAACACCGAUUGCGAAGGCAUCUCACGAAUCCGCGAUUGACGCUGAUGCACGAAAGCGUGGGUAUCAAACAGGAUUAGAUACCCGGGUAGUC